rnacentral:sRNA from 1 species
UAAAAUAAGCAGUUCAGUUUGCAUCAAUAUUCUAUUAAGUUGACAUCAAGAAUCAAUAUACAGUCAAAAUGGCGAAUUCGGAAUAUCUGUUAACAAAAGUUGCAAUGACUCCAGUUGGUUUAUAGUUAUAUGUUUGGAGUGUCAAUGAGGAUUUUGAUGAUUUCGAAGAUGCACCUCAGAUUGAUAGUUGGGACAAAGUCUCUUACAUUAACCGCAUGUUGAUUUAACGAAGAAAAUUUCAGUACGAAUGGCUGAUUGGGUCAGCUAUAGUGCAUCCCUCACAAAAGUAUGUGUACUGUGUAUUAUAGUCUCACUGGUCCUCGCACUGAUCUAACUUAGUGCUACAAUUCUAGUCAGAUAGCCCUAUUGAGAGCACUACUCUUAUUAACUAAACUAACUCACGAGAAAGUUUGAGUAAGGUUCUCGACCACAGCAUCCUUAGAUAAUCUCUCACAAUAG